UUGAUUAUGGGCUAUGUGUUAGCCUCAUCGCUUUGUGUCAGCCCGGUAACCUUCAUGGGCUGUUAUCAAAAGUCAGCAAAUAAAGUAGACGAUUUAUCUAGAAGGUGUGUGCCAAAUAUUUCUCCUAUAGAAAAAUAAUGCGUUUCUGACUUUCUUGGUCAGGCAAAAUUAGAAAAAUAAAUUAAAAAUACAAAAAAUAUGGAAAAGCCGUGAUGUAAAUCGCCUGGAAAAUUCAGAUUUUUUUCCCCAAUAAAGUAAAGGGAACCACCCUAAAGUAAACGUGAUUAGGUCUGACAAUGAAAUCCAACAACCCAUAUUAGCUGUCCAUUAUCCUUUAAUUAAUUUUAAUUUUAUCUUUAUUUUAGUAAAACAACCGCCUCUCAUUAAAAACGCCCCUAAACACGUACCCCACAUAGACCGUUGAUCUUAUAUCUAAUAAUACGAUCUCGUCCGUCCAUUAUUCCUAACACUGUGUAUAAACGUAACGCAUUGAUCUCUUUAGGAUUACAUACCCGCGUUUCUUAUGAUCCAUUCAACUUCUUCUUCAUCGCUAUUCGCUAGAUUCUCUCUGGUACGUCGAUGUCUCGAAGUCUCUCCGAUCUUCGCAAAUUCUGCUCUCGAUCUGCAGAUCGGGGCCGUAUCCGUAUGUAUCUAGUGGAUCCGGUUUAAAUCGCGGCGAGAAGACGGAUCGUAGCGGCUGAGACCUCCGUAGAUCGGUUUAUUAUGCAUAUGGUAGCUGGAUCUGAUAAUUUGAUUCGUUUAAUUCGAUUGAAUCCCUUUGUAAUAUUGUUUGUUUGUUUGUUAAUUUCUGAUCUCGGCCGCGAAUUUCGUCGGAUAUGUGAUUUUUGUCUGCGGUUUGAUGAGGUGAUGACGAAUCCGAGGGGGGGAGCGAUCGAAGAGGAAGAGGAUGGGAGAUGUGUGAAUUGAUAUGAGUUUUAAUAUGAUGGGAUGAUGUAUGAGAUGUUUGUUAGGGACGAUAGAGCCUGAUGAUGAUGAUGAUGAUGAUGAUGAUGAUGAGGCUUGAGUUUCUGAAUUAGCAUCUUUGUCAUCCGACCUUUGCCAUGACAGGUGCGCUUGCAUGGCAGGUCACACCAAAAAUCCUUAAUAAUAAAAAAAAAAAUAGUUUCGUGUUGGCUGAGGGGAGUUCGCACGGGGGACUUUUUUAUUUUAUUUAGCCCGGGUUCUCCCCUCACCCUUUGUGUCUUUCGCACUCGCUUUGACUAUCACUCUCUGAUAUCUCAAAAUCACACAAAAUAUCUCGACCCUCCUGACAUACUUUGAAUUGAUUCGGAUCGUUACUAUCGGAUCUGGAGUCAAGCACGGGCCAACAAUACUCUACGGAGACCAAAGGGCUCUUUUGCGGUUGGGUUUUUGCUUCCACGGGGUGAAAGUUUGAAAAGCCCAUGUGCCUUAAUCACGCGGGAAAGGUUUGUAUUAUUAGAUCUGUAAGCUCAAAAUGGUAGAGCUCUCGGUAUGAGAGGUUGGUGGUUCGAAUCCACCCAGAUCUGUCUGUCUUCCUCACCCUUUUUUAGAUUUAACUGAUUUUGAAUUUCAUUUGUUAUGAUCUUCUGCAUUGGCAUUUGGCGCUAGGGAGCGGAAUUUGUCAUCGGUAAGCAAUGACGAUAAAUAACUAUGUAACUUGGAUCACAAUCAACUAAGCAAAGACUUUCAUCCACUUAAGGAAAAGUCUUCCUAAUACAUGUAUACUUUUCUUUCUUUUUUUGAUAAAAUGUGAAAUUUAUUGUUCUGUGUAAAAAAUGACCAUUUACAAGA